UUUUCUGCUAAUAUUUAGGUGCUUCUUCCUGAAACUAUAUAUAUAGAUAUAUAUUUUCCGUGGCCUUGUUUAUAUGAAGAAACUGGUUUUUUAAAACCUUCCUGAUUUCCCCGAGCCUUUUGUUAUGGGCCAAUUUUGCCCAGGCAAAAACAAACAAAAUAAACCCAAAAAAUAAAAAAGUCCACUACAGCAUUAGGCCAAGCCCAAACCCAAAUAAAAAACCCUAGCUCAGCAACCUAAAAAAAUUCAGCAAAAGAAAAACCCUAGCCCCAUGGUCAGCCUCCAGCGCUGCACGCUCCACCCCCUCGCACGCCACCGUCAUCGCGUCCCAUCGCCCCUCC
rnacentral:lncRNA from 1 species